rnacentral:rRNA from 1 species
AACGCUAGCGACAGGCUUAACACAUGCAAGUCGAGGGGCAGCACAGGUAGCAAUACCGGGUGGCGACCGGCGCACGGGUGAGUAACGCGUAUGCAACUUACCUAUCAGAGGGGGAUAACCCGGCGAAAGUCGGACUAAUACCGCAUGAAGCAGGGGUCCCGCAUGGGGAUAUUUGCUAAAGAUUCAUCGCUGAUAGAUAGGCAUGCGUUCCAUUAGGCAGUUGGCGGGGUAACGGCCCACCAAACCGACGAUGGAUAGGGGUUCUGAGAGGAAGGUCCCCCACAUUGGUACUGAGACACGGACCAAACUCCUACGGGAGGCAGCAGUGAGGAAUAUUGGUCAAUGGCCGAGAGGCUGAACCAGCCAAGUCGCGUGAGGGAUGAAGGUUCUAUGGAUCGUAAACCUCUUUUAUAAGGGAAUAAAGCGCGGGACGUGUCCCGUUUUGUAUGUACCUUAUGAAUAAGGAUCGGCUAACUCCGUGCCAGCAGCCGCGGUAAUACGGAGGAUCCGAGCGUUAUCCGGAUUUAUUGGGUUUAAAGGGUGCGUAGGCGGCCUUUUAAGUCAGCGGUGAAAGUCUGUGGCUCAACCAUAGAAUUGCCGUUGAAACUGGGGGGCUUGAGUAUGUUUGAGGCAGGCGGAAUGCGUGGUGUAGCGGUGAAAUGCAUAGAUAUCACGCAGAACCCCGAUUGCGAAGGCAGCCUGCCAAGCCAUUACUGACGCUGAUGCACGAAAGCGUGGGGAUCAAACAGGAUUAGAUACCCUGGUAGUCCACGCAGUAAACGAUGAUCACUAGCUGUUUGCGAUACACUGUAAGCGGCACAGCGAAAGCGUUAAGUGAUCCACCUGGGGAGUACGCCGGCAACGGUGAAACUCAAAGGAAUUGACGGGGGCCCGCACAAGCGGAGGAACAUGUGGUUUAAUUCGAUGAUACGCGAGGAACCUUACCCGGGUUUGAACGCAUUCGGACCGAGGUGGAAACACCUUUUCUAGCAAUAGCCGUUUGCGAGGUGCUGCAUGGUCGUCGUCAGCUCGUGCCGUGAGGUGUCGGCUUAAGUGCCAUAACGAGCGCAACCCUUGCCACUAGUUACUAACAGGUAAAGCUGAGGACUCUGGUGGGACUGCCAGCGUAAGCUGCGAGGAAGGCGGGGAUGACGUCAAAUCAGCACGGCCCUUACAUCCGGGGCGACACACGUGUUACAAUGGCGUGGACAAAGGGAAGCCACCUGGCGACAGGGAGCGAAUCCCCAAACCACGUCUCAGUUCGGAUCGGAGUCUGCAACCCGACUCCGUGAAGCUGGAUUCGCUAGUAAUCGCGCAUCAGCCAUGGCGCGGUGAAUACGUUCCCGGGCCUUGUACACACCGCCCGUCAAGCCAUGGGAGCCAGGGGUACCUGAAGUCCGUAACCGCGAGGAUCGGCCUAGGGUAAAACUGGUGACUGGGGC